rnacentral:tRNA from 1 species
GCCUUCGUGGUGCAGUGGUCAGCACACUCGAUGUGUAACCGAGACGCCAGUGGUUCAAUUCCCGGCGAAGGCU